rnacentral:rRNA from 1 species
AACGAACGUUGGCGGCGUGGAUUAGGCAUGCAAGUCGCACGAAUCUCAGACUGGUAGCAAUACCGGGCUGGGGAAAGUGGCGAAAGGGGCAGUAAGGCGUGGGUAACUUGCCCCGGAGUUCGGAAUAGCCGUUCUAACGAACGGGUAAUCCCGAAUGCCGUGCCGAGGGGGCCUCCCCUUGGCACGAAAGUUACGGCGCUCCGGGACGGGGCCCGACGUAGUAUUAGCUUGUUGGUGAGGUAACGGCUCACCAAGGCCAAGANGCUUA